GGGCUCACACAAGCAGUGGAGUAUGUGGCUUAAUUCGAGGCUACGCGAAGAACCUCACCUAGGCUUGACAUGCAGGAAUUAGCCGGCGGAAACGUCGGUGACGCCGCAAGGUGGAAUCUGCACAGGUGCUGCAUGGCUGUCGUCAGCUCGUGCCGUGAGGUGUUGGGUUAAGUCCCGUAACGAGCGAAACCCUUGUGUCCAGUUGCCAGCGCGUAAAGGCGGGGACUCUGGACAGACCGCCGGUAUUAAACCGGAGGAAGGCGGGGACGACGUCAAGUCAUCAUGGCCCUUAUGCCUAGGGCUGCACACGUACUACAAUGGGCCGGACAAAGCGACGCGAGACCGCGAGGUGGAGCAAAUCGCAAAAACCGUCCCCCAGUUCAGAUUGCACUCUGCAAUUCGAGUGCAUGAAGUUGGAAUUGCUAGUAAUCGCGGAUCAGCACUGCCGCGGUGAAUGUGUUCCUGAGCCUU
rnacentral:rRNA from 1 species